GCCCGUCGGGUGGAAAAGCCCGUCCCACCCCCCGGGGAACACGGGCCGCCGCCUCCUCGCCCGGAGCCCUGCCAGCCGCGGGGGUGGGCUCCGGUGUGCGGAGCCGGGGCAGCUGUCCUGCAGGGCCGAGGGUUGGACAUGCCUUGCCAGAAGAGGAGCAAGAAAUGUGUCUAGCUAAUCCCUUCCCCAUGGAAGGAUUUGGGUAAGAUGAUCUCAUGAAGACCUGCCUGGGAUGCUAUAAUUAAUUCUGACCUCCUCAGUCUACGGCUUGUGCAUCUAUCAGAGUGAGAGAUCAAACAACAGCGUGAGCAUGAAUGAAGUCAGAUUUUGGAGAAGCCCAGGUUUUGUGAUAGUGAUGUAUAUGCCCUGUGUAAAGGAAACGGCUUAUGUUCAUUUCUGAGAAAAAGUGAAGUUUUCCCUCACAUUCUUCAAAUGAGAUCCUGAAUGCUGUGGUUCCUUUCUGGCCCUGCAGGAGAACGGAGGAAUAAAAAAAAUCCCCAGCCACAUGAUUGGGAAGAUCAGGUCAUUUGUGGUGCAGCUGCUGCUAACGUGUGAGGUAUUCAUAUAUGAACAAGCAAUAAACAGGUACCUGGCAGCUUGUCACAGUAAGUUAUUCUUUGCUAUCUGUUUCUGGUUUGGGCUAGCAUGGCUGCAUCUUGCUCAUAGAGCACUUUUUAGUGCUGCUAAGUCUUAUAGCUGGACUACACACAUCUUUCAAUACAUAGGUGUCCUCCCCAUGUCCGUAUGCCUUAAAUAUUGACAGAGAAUUCUGUUUUACCCUGUGUUUGUUUGCUAGUGCUACCUUCUCAGCUUUGCUCAUCACCUGAAUAUCCACAGCCUGAUUUUCAAAGGUAUUGAGAUCUGAGAUGAAUGGGAUCUGCAAGUAUGCAGCACCUCAGAAAAAUCAGGCAACCUCUAAGAAGGUAAAACAGGCUGCCCAACCAAAUUCUGGAGUGAGGAGAAAAGUAGGCUUAUGUUAAGAAUCAGGAUAUAUACUUUGAAGCCAGUGGUCCAGUUUAUUUGGCUUAAGAUACCUUCACGUUCUUCUCAGAGCUAAGAGGGACUUGGAAGUGGGCAUCUUUAAACAUUAGUUACAACUAUAUGACUAAAGAAAACUGGCAGCUACUUGGCAAUUUUGUGACUGAUGAUGGAUGAAUGAAAAUGUGGGGAUAAAUCAGUAGGUUUCAUGCAGCUCAAAAUUAACUGCGUAGGAAUUGUAUGUGUAAGAGGCCAGACCAGCCUUGAAACAGAGCAGAGGGAACUUUCUUGAAGGUACUGGGUUAGUUACUCUUCACUAACCUGUUUUUUGCACUGCUCCAUGAAAGAUUCAAGAAGUGUCACUGAGAGUUUCAGCGCUUGUGGUUAUAGCACGAAGGCUAGACUUUAUGAAGCUAGAAUUGCUAAAAGGAAACUAAUAGAGCCAGGAACCAAAUCCUCACUGAAUGUGGAUGAGCACUGUGAGCACACUGGAAAUCCCAGCCUACAGGUAUAAUGCUUAUCACUGCUGCUUUUUCUGUGUAGGAAAAGAGGAAAGCUACUUUCUAAAGCUAACAGAAAAGUGAAACUCUAAAUAGAUGGAAAGAGAGAUAAUCACAACUAUUUAAAAAUAAAUGAGGGGAUUUAAAUGUAUCAAUAACGAAAGCACUGGGCCCAGCUCUCCAAAGACACCUACUAUCCUCAGUUCCUAUUAGUACCCUGGAGACUGAAGAUGCAAAGUUCUUGUCAGAAACUAGCACCAAAAUGAUUUAGCAAAUGGGGAGAACAACUGUCUGCAGUUGACACUUACGUGAAAUAGAAGUCUGGUGAGACCGUAGAAUGACACUUUGCGAAAGGACCAUUUGACUCAGUCAGGAUUUGACAUCUAGAAGUUUUGUUUUUGUCCUCCAGCUGAUUUUCAUUGCAGCCUUGGAAGAGCCCUGGAUCUGGUUCCUCCUCAGACUCAUCUUUUGAAUUGACAUCUCGCCUGGAAAUGAAGUCAUGAAACCAUCAGUUCUCUGUACAUCCAGCAUUCAUGGUACUACUCUUCAGUGAGAGAGACUUACCACAAGCUGCUUGUUCUGCUUGAAUUGCACUGUGUGACCGUAAACAUUGACGAGAAUCUCUUUCAGGUAAGUAAUGUGUCGAUUUCCAUGGAAAGGAUAGUUCGUGCCUUCAAUGCUGAACUGCGUCAGAGUAUCAGGUAGGUCAGGGAUGGUCUGAGCCACAAUAUACGUGUAUUUCCCUUGAAAGUGAUGCACCAGACCGUCGAAGGUGAUGUAGUGUGGGUCUCCCAUGAUCCGGCAUUUCCCAAAACCUAAAGGGGAAGAGCUUCAUUACUCUUCAGUCUGAAUGUGCAUGUGCGAGAUGCCAAGCAUUGGAUCAUUUUAACAUAAGUCAGAUAAAAAUGAUUGCUGCUAGCAUGCAGGUCUCUUAAAGAUGGGCGCUCAGGCAUCACCCUAGUGAAUGGGCACUCAAAUGAAGAGACGGCCAGAGAAAUUCAUUCCUCUGCUGAGACCCAGUGCAAGCCAACUGAAGCAGGGGUUUACAGGCUUUCUAAAGACUAAGCUGUGCAUGUUGGUCCUCUGCAGAGGAAUGACUUUGCCACACAGCAUGGCUUGCAGUGGGCUCUUAGAGAUGCCCGUUUCAUAAUCCUCGGCAACGUGUUGCUACAAAAUUAUUGGAAUAUGAAAAGCAAUGUCUAGUUUCGGCUGGCUCGCUGCUGUCACACUGAUUUCUUCUGAGGUUACUAAAUUGAUCAUUGAGUUCACCAGACCUAACAGCAGUGACUAUCGUCUAAGUAUUCUCCUUGGCCACUGAGCGCAGAGCAAACCAUUAUCCCAGGACCAAGGCUCUCCUUAAGAGUGCUGGAGUGCCUCUGCUGUGGUAUUUUGCCAAAAUGGAGCAGGGGGAAGCUGGAUUUGCAUUAUGCUCUUGUACUGGUCAUCAAUACAGUAGGACCCAUGCCAUACUAUUCUUCAAAAUUGAAGUGUAGAGUCACUAGGCAACAAGCUAUCUCCUAAACACUCCAAUUUACCUAGAGAAUAUGGGAUUAACUUUGCUUAGCCAAAGCAACCAUUGGAUGAAAAGCACCAAGGUUCUCUGACUGGCCUAUUACAUAUCUGUUCAGAUCUGCUCUGUCCUGGUUUGCCUUUAUUUUUUUCUGUUCUCAAAUCAACAGGCAAUGGGAAAAACAGGAUCGUUGCCAAAGGAUUCACAGACAUAUCUGAGGUUUGGUUUUGGUAGAUGCAGUGAAAAUCUUUUAUUAUUAUUUUAUUUAAUCUAGUCAGACUAAACUGUCAAAUUUCUAGAUGUAAGUAAAUUUUCAAACUGUUGUUCCACUUCCUUCUACAAAUUCUGUCUUGUAUUGGAACUUUCUAUUCUGAGAACUGAGGCCUUUUUGUGUUAAUAAUGUGUUGUCAAUAGUACUGUCAGAGCUGCCUUUCUCUGUAUAAAAGUCUGGAAGUGCCAUAGAAGAAAGAACGGACACCCACAUCCUUCCUCCUUCUCCAGGCCUCAUGAAACACCAAGUGAAGACCUGCCCGCACAUACCUGUUGGAUUGCACUUGUGUUUUCCAUUUUUGAUCACGCAGGUUUCUUUAGAAUCACAGCUGUAGCUGUUACAUGUGAUGACACCGUUCUUCUGACACUGGCAUCUUUUGGCACAGUGUGGAGUUAUCCAGGUGUCCCCAGCCUGGACACAAGUUGUGUUAAUAUGUUACCAAGGUGCUCAGCUUCACGAUGCAAUAAAAGCUCAAUAGCAAAGGGUGUGGGGGGGCAACCCAGUCCAUUUAUCUUACUAUCUUUGGCAUGAGAAUUUGAACACAAAGCAGGACUAGGAUAGACUGCCUGAAUAACUCUGAUCAAUUGACAAAUUUUGAAUAUGCCUGAAUUUUGGCCUCAGGUGCAAAGUACCAAGCUCCUGCACCUCCUAAUACCUGAGCCUGCAGCUUGUACUAAUCAGAUGAAAGGUAUUUAAGAGGUAGACCCUGAAGAUUUCUCUCUCUCAUUCGGAUGGACAGGGGACCAACUUUCUACAAGCUUUGCAACCAGAGAUUUGCUCCACAAACUACUUACGCUGUAGUAAUUGUUGUCGUCGUCCCUGCAGCCACAAUUGCUCAGAGGUACACAUUUGCCAUUACUGAGCACGUAAUUAUCAUCACACUCACAGCCCUCUGUGCACUCUUCUGUCUUCUCACAAAGGGAAGAGGCAAAAAUGUCAUUGCAUGUUGAUGGGCAGGUGGAGACACAGUCCGUGUAAUGGCUAUAGGUUGGACAGGGCAACGCUGUGUGGGUGAAGAGAAUAGAACCAGCGUUAUUAAAUACAUUUAGAAAGCGCACUGCAAACACAUGUGCCUGCCUGAAAGUUACAACUUGGCUUAUGGAAUGGUAGUAUAGAAUUGCUUUUUAAUAGCUGAUUCUGAUCAUCAGACCCUCUCUGGAGCUGCUGAUUCAGUUCUACUACAGAUAUGCCUGAGCUGGUGUCGCCUGGCGCUAGAUCAUUCAGAUUCAGUAUUCCAGUUCAGCCGCAAAUGCUUCUUUGGGCACUGCUAGAAAGGAGAAUCUUUAGGGCAAAUUCCUUAGAAUGUUUGGCCCUCCAGUGAUGCAAACCAGGUGUAUAUCUAGCUCAACCACAGACAUAACCACAUGCAAGAACAGCUAUGCAUUCUCAGACUGAAGAUUCAUCUAGCUCUAUACCCGAUUUCUGCCAGUGACUAGAGGUGCAUAAGGGGACAGUUCAAGAAACAGGGUAGCAGGACAAAGGGUUCAUUUGUGCAGUAUUUCUCGUGGCAAGGAGACAACUAGGAAUUUCUGAUGGUCCUAUUCAACAUUCAUCUGGCUUGUUUUUUAACCAGUUAAUUGUUUUGUCCUCCACGACAUUAUGUGAUAAUUAAUCCUACAAUGUAAUACUAAACUGUGAAAAAAAACCCAACAAAAAGAAACCCACUAUGUGAUCUUUACUCAUUUUUACAUAAUUUCUUUGUAGCUUUGUGGAAUGGGUGGAGUGAGGCACGUACAUUGGAAAUUAAUCCAAGAACGCAGCUCUUAAUAAGUAACUGUCCAAAUUGCCAGUUUUCAUCCUAAACACAGUGAGAGGCAUUGAGCCCUGUGUCCUAACACAGUAUCUCACUUUGUUUUAGUCUUCUGGUUAUAUUAUUUCUCCACUUUAGACUCAUUGCAGUAUCUCAUGGCACUCUACUAAAGACAUUCUGACUCCACAUUACUAUCCAUAACUUUCCUAGUCCUGAGUUAUCACUGGCUUUAGCUCAACGUGAACACAGUUCAGUGCAACAAUGGAGUCAUAAAAUCAUAAUAAUAGAAUUGCAUUUUGUGAGAAUUGGGUUUAAUUUAAUUUUACAUAACUUGGUGACCUAAUACUGCUGAUUUGUUUUCAUGCUGUCAGCCAUCCAAGUUUGAUUUUUUUUUUUGCUUGUGCAC